rnacentral:rRNA from 1 species
ACGGGAAUUUGAUCAGGUACGUCCGGAAAGGAACGCUAAUACCGCAUACGUCCUACGGGAGAAAGCAGGGGACCUUCGGGGUUGGCGCUAUCAGAUGAGCCUAGGUCGGAUUAGCUAGUAGGUGAGGUAAUGGCUCACCUAGGCGACGAUCCGUAACUGGUCUGAGAGGAUGAUCAGUCACACUGGAACUGAGACACGGUCCAGACUCCUACGGGAGGCAGCAGUGGGGAAUAUUGGACAAUGGGCGAAAGCCUGAUCCAGCCAUGCCGCGUGUGUGAAGAAGGUCUUCGGAUUGUAAAGCACUUUAAGUUGGGAGGAAGGGCAGUAAGUUAAUACCUUGCUGUUUUGACGUUACCAACAGAAUAAGCACCGGCUAACUUCGUGCCAGCAGCCGCGGUAAUACGAAGGGUGCAAGCGUUAAUCGGAAUUACUGGGCGUAAAGUGUGUGUAGGUGGUUCAGCAAGUUGGAGGUGAAAUCCCCGGGCUCAACCUGGGAACUGCCUCCAAAACUACUGAGCUAGAGUACGGUAGAGGGUAGCGGAAUUUCCUGUGUAGCGGUGAAAUGCGUAGAUAUAGGAAGGAACACCAGUGA